rnacentral:rRNA from 1 species
AUUGAACGCUGGCGGCAUGCCUUACACAUGCAAGUCGAACGGUAACAGGGAGCUUGCUCCGCUGACGAGUGGCGAACGGGUGAGUAAUGUAUCGGAACGUACCUUUUAGUGGGGGAUAACGUAGCGAAAGUUACGCUAAUACCGCAUAUUCUCUGAGGAGGAAGCAGGGGACCUUCGGGCCUUGCGCUAAUAGAGCGGCUGAUAUCAGAUUAGCUAGUUGGUGAGGUAAAGGCUCACCAAGGCGACGAUCUGUAGCGGGUCUGAGAGGAUGAUCCGCCACACUGGAACUGAGACACGGUCCAGACUCCUACGGGAGGCAGCAGUGGGGAAUUUUGGACAAUGGGGGCAACCCUGAUCCAGCCAUGCCGCGUGAGUGAAGAAGGCCUUCGGGUUGUAAAGCUCUUUCGGCCGGGAAAAAAUCGCAUGGGUUAAUACCCUGUGUGGAUGAUGGUACCGGAAUAAGAAGCACCGGCUAACUACGUGCCAGCCGCCGCAGUAAAAC